GACGUAGGGCGCAAGCGUUGUCCGGAUUUAUUGGGCGUAAAGAGCUCGUAGGCGGCCUGUCGCGUCGACCGUGAAAACCCGCAGCUCAACUGCGGGCUUGCGGUCGAUACGGGCAGGCUGGAGUUCGGUAGGGGAGACUGGAAUUCCUGGUGUAGCGGUGAAAUGCGCAGAUAUCAGGAGGAACACCGGUGGCGAAGGCGACUUCCUGGCCUGUUCUUGACGCUGAGGCGCGAAAGCUAGGGGAGCAAACGGG
rnacentral:rRNA from 1 species